UGAUUGAUAACCAAAAGCUGU
rnacentral:siRNA from 1 species